GAUGAACGCUAGCGAUAGGCCUAACACAUGCAAGUCGAGGGGCAUCACAUGAAGUAGCAAUACGGAUGGUGGCGACCGGCGCACGGGUGAGUAACACGUAUGCAACCUGCCUUCAACAAGGGGAUAACCCGUUGAAAAACGGACUAAUACCCUAUAAUACAGGGGUCCCGCAUGGGGAUAUUUGUUAAAGAUUGAUCGGUUGAAGAUGGGCAUGCGUUCCAUUAGCUGGUUGGUGAGGUAACGGCUCACCAAGGCAACGAUGGAUAGGGGAACUGAGAGGUUUAUCCCCCACACUGGUACUGAGACACGGACCAGACUCCUACGGGAGGCAGCAGUGAGGAAUAUUGGUCAAUGGACGCAAGCCUGAUGCAGCCAUGCCGCGUGUGUGAAGAAGG
rnacentral:rRNA from 1 species